rnacentral:misc_RNA from 1 species
UGAGUCAGGAGACAAGAGUCAGAAACCACACUGUGCCUGCGCAGGGGUGGCUGAAAGACUCUGGGACUAGCCAUAACAGGGGAACUCGCGGAUUUAUUCCGAAUGUUCGCAUUAAUUUUGGGCGUGCGAAGCACAAAAACGGCUGGCUCA